UACGUAGGGGGCAAGCGUUGUCCGGAUUUAUUGGGCGUAAAGAGCGUGUAGGCGGCCCGGUAAGUCCGCUGUAAAAGUCAAAGGCUCAACCUUUGAAUGUCAGUGGAUACUGCCGGGCUAGAGUCCGGAAGAGGCGAGUGGAACUCCUGGUGUAGCGGUGGAAUGCGCAGAUAUCAGGAAGAACACCGACGGCGAAGGCAGCUCGCUGGGACGGUACUGACGCUGAGACGCGAAAGCGUGGGGGAGCAAACAGG
rnacentral:rRNA from 1 species